AUCUAAGUGUGAAACCCACCUCAAGAUGAGAUUUCCCAUGAUUAUAUAUCAGUAAGAGCCCUGAGAGAAGAUCAGGUAGAUAGGUUAGGAGUGGAAGUUGUGUGAGCAAUGGAGCGGACUAAUACUAAUAGCUCGAGGACUUAUCCAAA
rnacentral:rRNA from 1 species